UCUUCGGAUCGUAAAGCUCUUUCGGCCGGGACGAAACUCACUGUUUAAUUAAGCGGUGACUUGACGGUACCGGAAGAAGAAGCACCGGCUAACUCUGUGC
rnacentral:rRNA from 1 species